rnacentral:rRNA from 1 species
AUUGAACGCUGGCGGCAGGCCUAACACAUGCAAGUCGAGCGGAUGAAGGGAGCUUGCUCCUGGAUUCAGCGGCGGACGGGUGAGUAAUGCCUAGGAAUCUGCCUGGUAGUGGGGGAUAACGUCCGGAAACGGGCGCUAAUACCGCAUACGUCCUGAGGGAGAAAGUGGGGGGUCUUCGGACCUCACGCUAUCAGAUGAGCCUAGGCCGGAUUAGCUAGUUGGUGGGGUAAAGGCCUACCAAGGCGACGAUCCGUAACUGGUCUGAGAGGAUGAUCAGUCACACUGGAACUGAGACACGGUCCAGACUCCUACGGGAGGCAGCAGUGGGGAAUAUUGGACAAUGGGCGAAAGCCUGAUCCAGCCAUGCCGCGUGUGUGAAGAAGGUCUUCGGAUUGUAAAGCACUUUAAGUUGGGAGGAAGGGCAGUAAGUUAAUACCUUGCUGUUUUGACGUUACCAACAGAAUAAGCACCGGCUAACUUCGUG